GGGAGCUUGCUCCCUGAUGUUAGCGGCGGACGGGUGAGUAACACGUGGGUAACCUGCCUGUAAGACUGGGAUAACUCCGGGAAACCGGGGCUAAUACCGGAUGGUUGUUUGAACCGCAUGGUUCAAACAUAAAAGGUGGCUUCGGCUACCACUUACAGAUGGACCCGCGGCGCAUUAGCUAGUUGGUGAGGUAACGGCUCACCAAGGCAACGAUGCGUAGCCGACCUGAGAGGGUGAUCGGCCACACUGGGACUGAGACACGGCCCAGACUCCUACGGGAGGCAGCAGUAGGGAAUCUUCCGCAAUGGACGAAAGUCUGACGGAGCAACGCCGCGUGAGUGAUGAAGGUUUUCGGAUCGUAAAGCUCUGUUGUUAGGGAAGAACAAGUACCGUUCGAAUAGGGCGGUACCUUGACGGUACCUAACCAGAAAGCCACGGCUAACUACGUGCCAGCAGCCGCGGUAAUACGUAGGUGGCAAGCGUUGUCCGGAAUUAUUGGGCGUAAAGGGCUCGCAGGCGGUUUCUUAAGUCUGAUGUGAAAGCCCCCGGCUCAACCGGGGAGGGUCAUUGGAAACUGGGGAACUUGAGUGCAGAAGAGGAGAGUGGAAUUCCACGUGUAGCGGUGAAAUGCGUAGAGAUGUGGAGGAACACCAGUGGCGAAGGCGACUCUCUGGUCUGUAACUGACGCUGAGGAGCGAAAGCGUGGGGAGCGAACAGGAUUAGAUACCCUGGUAGUCCACGCCGUAAACGAUGAGUGCUAAGUGUUAGGGGGUUUCCGCCCCUUAGUGCUGCAGCUAACG
rnacentral:rRNA from 1 species